rnacentral:rRNA from 1 species
AUUGAACGCUGGCGGCAGGCUUAACACAUGCAAGUCGAGCGAGCGGCGGACGGGUGAGUAAUGUCUGGGAAACUGCCUGAUGGAGGGGGAUAACUACUGGAAACGGUAGCUAAUACCGCAUACCAUCAGAGGUGCCCAGAUGGGAUUAGCUCGUAGGUGGGGUAAUGGCUCACCUAGGCGACGACCCCUGGCUGGUCUGAGAGGAUGACCAGCCACACUGGAACUGAGCCACUGUCCAGACUCCUACGUGAGGCAGCAGUGGGGAAUAUUGCACAAUGGGCGCAAGCCUGAUGCAGCCAUGCCGCGUGUGUGAAGAAGGCCUUCGGGUUGUAAAGCACUUUCAGCGAGGAGGCGUUACUCGCAGAAGAAGCACCGGCUAACUCCGUGCCAGCAGCCGCGGUAAUAC